GGGUGAGUAACACGUGGGUGAUCUACCUCAGAGUGGGGGAUAACCUUCCGAAAGGAGGGCUAAUACCGCAUGACGUUCUGGGUUUGAAGACCUGGAAACCAAAGUCGGGGACCGCAAGGCCUGACGCUUGGAGAGGAGCCCGCGCCUGAUUAGCUAGUUGGCGGGGUAACGGCCCACCAAGGCGACGAUCAGUAGCCGGCCUGAGAGGGCGGACGGCCACACUGGGACUGGGACACGGCCCAGACUCCUACGGGAGGCAGCAGUGGGGAAUUGUUCGCAAUGGGCGCAAGCCUGACGACGCAACGCCGCGUGGAGGAUGAAGGUCUUCGGAUUGUAAACUCCUGUUGAUCGGGACGAACGGGCUCCGGAUUAAUACACCGGAGCAGUGACGGUACCGAUUGAGGAAGCCACGGCUAACUCUGUGCCAGCAGCCGCGGUAAUACAGAGGUGGCAAGCGUUGUUCGGAAUUACUGGGCGUAAAGGGCGCGUAGGCGGCCUUGUCAGUCAGACGUGAAAUCCCCAGGCUUAACCUGGGAACUGCGUCUGAUACUACAAGGCUGGAGUUCGGGAGAGGAAUGUGGAAUUCCAGGUGUAGCGGUGAAAUGCGUAGAUAUCUGGAGGAACACCGGUGGCGAAGGCGGCAUUCUGGACCGAAACUGACGCUGAGGCGCGAAAGCCAGGGGAGCAAACGGGAUUAGAUACCCCGGUAGUCCUGGCCCUAAACGAUGAGUGCUUGGUGUGGCGGGUAUCGAUCCCUGCCGUGCCGAAGCUAACGCAUUAAGCACUCCGCCUGGGGAGUACGGUCGCAAGGCUGAAACUCAAAGGAAUUGACGGGGGCCCGCACAAGCGGUGGAGCAUGUGGUUCAAUUCGACGCAACGCGAAGAA
rnacentral:rRNA from 1 species